GCAGUGGGGAAUAUUGCACAAUGGAGGAAACUCUGAUGCAGCAACGCCGCGUGAAGGAUGAAGGUCUUCGGAUUGUAAACUUUCUUUGAUUGGGGACGAAGUAAGUGACGGUACCCAAGGAACAAGCCACGGCUAACUACGUGCCAGCAGCCGCGGUAAUACGUAGGUGGCGAGCGUUGUCCGGAAUUACUGGGUGUAAAGGGCGUGUAGGCGGGGAAGUAAGUCAGAUGUGAAAUUCCUAGGCUUAACCUGGGCGCUGCAUCUGAAACUAUUUUUCUUGAGUGCUGGAGAGGAAAGCGGAAUUCCUAGUGUAGCGGUGAAAUGCGUAGA
rnacentral:rRNA from 1 species